rnacentral:pre_miRNA from 15 species
ACAAAGGACAAAGAUCAGUCCUAGCGGUACCAAAGUGCUCAUAGUGCAGGUAGUUUUUAUAUUGCUCUACUGCGGUAUGGGCACUUUCAGUACUCUUGGAUAAUGAAUCCCUUGGUCCUGG